rnacentral:rRNA from 1 species
UAGGGAAUCUUCCACAAUGGACGCAAGUCUGAUGGAGCAACGCCGCGUGAGUGAAGAAGGUUUUCGGACCGUAAAGCUCUGUUGUUGGUGAAGAAGGAUAGAGGUAGUAACUGGCCUUUAUUUGACGGUAAUCAACCAGAAAGUCACGGCUAACUACGUGCCAGCAGCCGCGGUAAUCGUAGGUGGCAAGCGUUGUCCGGAUUUAUUGGGCGUAAAGCGAGCGCAGGCGGAAGAAUAAGUCUGAUGUGAAAGCCCUCGGCUUAACCGAGGAAUUGCAUCGGAAACUGUUUUUCUUGAGUGCAGAAGAGGAGAGUAGAACUCCAUGUGUAGCGGUGGAAUGCGUAGAUAUAUGGAAGAAUACCAGUGGCGAAGGCGGCUCUCUGGUCUGCAACUGACGCUGAGGCUCGAAAGCAUGGGUAGCGAACAGGAUUAGAUACCCUGGUAGUCCAUGCCGUAAACGAUGAGUGCUAAGUGUUGGGAGGCUUCCGC